AUUAGCUAGUUGGUGAGGUAAUGGCCCACCAAGGCGACGAUCGGUAGCCGGACUGAAAGGUUGAACGGCCACAUUGGGACUGAGACACGGCCCAGACUCCUACGGGAGGCAGCAGUGGGGAAUAUUGCACAAUGGGGGAAACCCUGAUGCAGCGACGCCGCGUGGAGGAAGAAGGUCUUCGGAUUGUAAACUCCUGUUGUUGAGGAAGAUAAUGACGGUACUCAACAAGGAAGUGACGGCUAACUACGUGCCAGCAGCCGCGGUAAAACGUAGGUCACAAGCGUUGUCCGGAAUUACUGGGUGUAAAGGGAGCGCAGGCGGGAAGACAAGUUGGAAGUGAAAUCUAUGGGCUCAACCCAUAAACUGCUUUCAAAACUGUUUUUCUUGAGUAGUGCAGAGGUAGGCGGAAUUCCCGGUGUAGCGGUGGAAUGCGUAGAUAUCGGGAGGAACACCAGUGGCGAAGGCGGCCUACUGGGCACCAACUGACGCUGAGGCUCGAAAGUGUGGGUAGCAAACAAGAUUAGAUACCCUGGUAGUCCACACCGUAAACGCCCCUUAAUGGGUGUUGGAGGAUUGACCCCUUCAGUGCCGCAGUUAACACAAUAAGUAAUCCACCUGGGGAGUACGACCGCAAGGUUGAAACUCAAAGGAAUUGACGGGGGCCCGCACAAGCAGUGGAGUAUGUGGUUUAAUUCGACGCAACGCGAAGAACCUUACCAAGUCUUGACAUCCCUUGACGAACAUAGAAAUAUGUUUUCUCUUCGGAGCAAGGAGACAGGUGGUGCAUGGUUGUCGUCAGCUCGUGUCGUGAGAUGUUGGGUUAAGUCCCGCAACGAGCGCAACCCUUACUGUCAGUUACUACGCAAGAGGACUCUGGCAGGACUGCCGUUGACAAAACGGAGGAAGGUGGGGAUGACGUCAAAUCAUCAUGCCCUUUAUGACUUGGGCUACACACGUACUACAAUGGCGUUAAACAAAGAGAAGCAAGACCGCGAGGUGGAGCAAAACUCAGAAACAACGUCCCAGUUCGGACUGCAGGCUGCAACUCGCCUGCACGAAGUCGGAAUUGCUAGUAAUCGUGGAUCAGCAUGCCACGGUGAAUACGUUCCCGGGCCUUGCACACAGCGCCCGUC
rnacentral:rRNA from 1 species